CAGGCCUGAGCCUCACACCAGCCCCCAGUGGGCACCUCUCUGGGGACAAGGCUAGCUUUCAGCUACAUGCCUGAGAGCGGGCUCCAACUGGCCCAAAUGAAGCUAUUUUCAAGACAAAAGAAUGAAACUUCAAUGACUUUCUUGAAUUUCCUGUGGAUUAUUGGCAUUUUUUUUGUUUAAUAAACUUUUACCAGAGCACUGUAAACAUCCCCAGGGAUAGAAGAACAUUGAAUAUUUGGUCACAAAGAAAGCAUUUAAAUCCAUCCAUGUUUCCCCAAAUUUAACAUUUCAACAUUAAGAAAAAUAUUGAUAUUAUGCUGGUGUCCUACAGAGGACUGUCCAGCAUAGAAAUGGGAGAAUGUUGAAAGGUUCAGCAUGAUUUAUAGGUCACAUAGCACAAGAUGUUACUGAGCUUUUCCAAGGGAAGAAGGCCUUAAAGACAAACUCCUUAGGUAGUGUCCAGGCAGCUCUCUUGUGGGGCUUCUUUUCCUUCAGAAGAGAAAGCUCACAAUGAUAGGGGUAGACACGUGGGUCCCAAAGUGCCUGUUGCAUUCUACAGCAGCACACUAGAACCAUGCAUGACUAGAUACCAGAUUGCAGAAGAGGGAUUCCCUCUCUUGGGUUGUGGGGCUACUAAGCUGUAUGAUUAGGGAGAAGUAGUCUAUUAUGUGGUGUGAUCCAAGGCAAAGAUGCAAACUUGAAAGAUAGAGACGCAUGAGUGAGCCAAUAACUUUGACAACCAACCAGAUGUCACCAUGAUAGCAGCAAAGUGUCACCAGGACACCACUAGUCCUGCUUUGACAUGAUAUUAAAGCAAAUUUGGAGGACUAGAUUCCAGGUGCAUUUGUAUGCCACUGAACUUUAAAAAAUUUAACUUACUUUUUUGGAGUCCACUAUUUAGGCCAUUGGUUUUAGGAAGUUACUUUUUUAGUAACUCAGUCUACUUCCAAAACAUAGCCCAUAAACAUCCUUUGCUAUGUUACCAUCUUGUUCCAUUACAACCUCUGGAGGGUGACAGUCAAUACUCACCAGGUGGCUCAUCCCAAAGGCCGACAGGAUACCUCCAUCUGGAAGAAUAGCUUGGGAGGGGCCCAUUGGCAAAGCCAGGAAAACUAAUAAGGCUGGCACCCUUGGCUGUGGCUCAAAGGUUAAGCGAAGGUUAACUGGGGAUCCCAUUGUUGCUUCUAGACUUUUCCCAGUGACUGAAGAUGUCAUCGUGGAGGGAGGAAAAGCUGUGUAUAUGAUAUACUUAGCCUGUCUUCUAAGGCCCCACGGUUGGCAGCCAUUUUUAUUGGUGACACAGGAAUCAUGUCUUGAUGGACUGAGCAAGAGGAGUUGAGAUCAACAUUCUUCUAUUACCAGACCUUUAAGUAGCUGUCAACUCUCCACCUCCCACUUCUGCUACAAGGUGUGCUAAAUCAUAGGCAAUGACAACUGGAGGCACUGUUACCCCUGGACACACAGCAAGCGUCCUGGAGCCUGGACUGGUUCCCAACUGGUGCUGAGACUUGCCAUAGGCCUGCACAACUCUUCAUAAAGCCUGCCUGCCACAGCUGCCCCCGUGGCGGUGCAUGUCAGGACCGGGUGACCCUGGGACUUAUCCCCCAGGCUUAGCAGAUUCACAGCAGCAGGAUGCCCAGGGGAAGGUGAACUUUCCCACUGCAGAGAGGCUGAGGUGCCUUACACUCUGAUAUGAUCUCUACUACAGAAAAUAGAUGGGAUUGGCUGCAGCUUGAGGCAGGCUGGCAUCACCGUUGUUUACAUGAGUGUGAGCAUGAGAUAUGAGAGCGACCAUUACCAUCCUCAUUUAAGAGCUGAGAAUGUUAGAAGCCCCAUUAACAUUCUCCUCCAGGGAACUGAAUGUUUCCCUCUGAUUUUUAAUCAUUGUUCUUACUACCAACUAGCAAAACAUCAAUAAGCUUCACUCUUCUUGCUUAAGGCAACACUUACACACUUAUUAUUAUGGUAAAUGUCCAGACCCACCUUAGGCAUCUUCCAUUUCCCCUUCUUGAGACUUCUGUUCUGCCUCUCUAUCCCCAGCCUUUCAGCUUUCAGCUCUGGGAUGAGAUUGAGCUUCCCUGCUGUCUCUGGAAUGGCUGGGGACAUCUGACCCUUUAGCAAAGGUUGAUGUCUUGGACUGGUGCAGGGAGAGAUAUUAAUGCGAUGUUCUUCACCAGACUACUUCUCUAUUUCAAUGUCCUCUGCUUUUCAAGCAGACAUAUUUUCCUUCUUAUAUUCUUGCCACAGUGUCCAGUGAAGCAUCCUCUGUAUAUGUUCAGGUAUUCUGAGAACAUGGACAAGAACAUGGAAUUAAACAUGUACAAAUUUUAAGAGGGGAAAUGCUUAUGUUCAAGAAAAUUAAAGAGAGACAGGGAGGUUGAGGAGGCUAGGAAUGUCCUAUGUUCUAGUGCUGGUGGUUUUGUUUCUCUUGUGGUGAAUAUGAUACAGGAUUGACUUAUGCCCCUGGUUUGGCUAUCUUACAAAGAUAAGCCAUUUGUAUCCUGCUAUUUCAGUGAGACUAUUCUAUAUCCUGGUGGACACAAUUGACAUUUCUUGGGUUGCAUAACAAACAUGAAGAUGGUCUUUCAAUGAGAUUCGUGUUGGAAAGCUGAAGGUGCAUCUGGCUGGUUCUUCCCUUGAAGUCUAAC